UACGAAGGGGGCUAGCGUUGUUCGGAAUUACUGGGCGUAAAGCGCGUGUAGGCGGGUCUUUAAGUCAGGGGGGAAAUCCUGGAGCUCAACUCCAGAACUGCCUUUGAUACUGAGGAUCUUGAGUUCGGGAGAGGUGAGUGGAACUGCGAGUGUAGAGGUGAAAUUCGUAGAUAUUCGCAAGAACACCAGUGGCGAAGGCGGCUCACUGGCCCGAUACUGACGCUGAGGCACGAAAGCGUGGGGAGCAAACAGG
rnacentral:rRNA from 1 species